ensembl:lncRNA
GAUUCGAUAAGCAGUCUGUUUAGCGAUAGUGGAGUGGUGAAUGAAAGAAAGCUUGGAAAGAGAAAUGCAGCAGGGACUAGUCACACUCUACAAGCGCUGCAUGGCAUAAAGAUCAUUCCCUCUUUAAGAGAACCCUCCUGUCAUCCCAUUGGUCAGAAUCUUGCCACACCCACUCUUCAUCCAGACAGUUUGUGUCCGGGCCUGAGGUUCGAGCGAGUCGUUCAGAGGCCCAAGGUUGCAGGUCCUGAUGGAGAAAGAGGGAGUGGGAGGGAGACAAAACUUGCGAGAGGACGAGGGAAAGCCCGUAAUGCUACUUGGUCUUUUUGUGCACGCUACCCAGAAUUCCUUGUGACAUUUGUUGUGUGAAGAUUACUCACUGGCCCGUAGCCUAGUGUAGCACAACAGCGAUGGUUUUAAAGACACAGAGUUGGCGCUGUCCCAGCCUCGACACCUCACCCACAAACUGCGCCUCCUGUCAACCCCCACAGGCACCUAUUGUGGCGAAUCAGUGACCGUACCAUUCCUUCUUUCUGCUCUUCACCAACAAAUGAUAAACUAAGUGGAAAAAAAAAACAGAAUGGCAUGAAGAAGAAAAGAAGAUCCAGAGCAUGUUGCCUUUCAGCUGAAGUCGUUGAGGACAAUGCAAGUGCUGGACCAUCAUUUUCAAAUGCACUGAAAAGCAGAGUACUGACAAGUUUCAUCAAACAAACAUUUCAUUAUUAUAUUUCUUACAACACAAUGCAUCAAUGAAAAUGAAUGCAAUGUUUAAAUAGAAAAGCAACAUAAUAAUAACUAUUCAAUGCUGCCUUUACAUGCUUUUUGAUUAAGUAUGUCAUGUUAAAGUGUUUUGAUCAGUCCUGCUGAUAGUUGCCACAUGUAUCAUUUGGUUCCAAAUAGCACCUGUCUCUAUCAGCAGAUGAAAAAUAUUGGUGAAUUCUGACUGAAUCUGACUUUUAAUUAUAUUGAUUAUAAUUGUUUUAAAUGUAUUAAAAUACUGUAUGUAUUGCUAAUGUAGUAUAAUACUGUAGAUAUUUUACCAGCAUUUUUCCUUAACAUUAAAUAUAUUUUCUAUUUUUAAUGUAUGAUAAAAUAUUGUUUAUCCUUGACUAAGGCCAACAGUUAUAAAACAGAGCAGAUAUAAUGUAAAAAUACAUGAAUGAUUUGAAUGGUUUAGUCUACUUAAGACAAAUAAAUAAAUAAAUAAUAAAAAUAACCUGCA